CAAAGUGUAGCUUAAAUCAAAGCAUCCAGCUUACACCCGGAAGAUCUCACCCACUAAUGAUCACUUUGA
rnacentral:tRNA from 3 species